rnacentral:rRNA from 1 species
AGAGUUUGAUCCUGGCUCAGGACGAACGCUGGCGGCGCGCUUAACACAUGCAAGUCGAGCGAGAACCAGGCCUUCGGGCCUGGGGACAGCGGCGAACGGGUGAGUAACACGUGGGUAAUCUGCCCUCGAUACUGGGAUAGCCCGGGGAAACCCGGAUUAAUACCGGAUGGCCCUUCGAGUCUUUCGGACUUGAAGGAAAAGGUAGCUUCGGCCUCCGAUCGAGGAUGAGCCCGCGGCGGAUUAGCUUGUUGGUGAGGUAACGGCCCACCAAGGCGACGAUCCGUAGCUGGUCUGAGAGGACGAUCAGCCACACUGGGACUGAGACACGGCCCAGACUCCUACGGGAGGCAGCAGUGGGGAAUCUUGCCCAAUGGGCGAAAGCCUGAGGCAGCGACGCCGCGUGCGGGAAGAAGGCCUUACGGGUUGUAAACCGCUUUCAGGAGGGACGAAGCCACUCGGGUUAAUAGCCCAGAGGGUGACGGUACCUCCAGAAGAAGCCCCAGCUAACUACGUGCCAGCAGCCGCGGUAAUACGUAGGGGGCAAGCGUUGUGCGGAUUUAUUGGGCGUAGAGAGCGUGUACGCGGCUAGAUAGGUCCGUAGUGAAAACUCGACGCUCAAGCNCGAGACGCGGAUGGAAGCGAUCUAGCUAGAGUCCAGAGCAAGAAACGUGGAUUUUCUCGGUGUACCUGUGAAAUGCUCCCAUNUCAGGANGACAGCCCUUGGCAAAGGCUGCCCUCUUGGUACCUGACUGACCCUGAUACCCCAAAAACCUGGGGA